GUAGCCUACUUAACUUCCUCCUCUACUCCCUCCCCUCCCUCCUCUCCUACUCACUCAUUAUCCUCCCUUGCAAUCUGGCUUUCAUGCCCACCCCCAAAGGUCACCAGGUCCAGUGGUCCCUGUCAGACCCUGCUUCUUCACUAGACACUGUCACCGUGCUCUCCUGACAUUCCCUCCUGGAUGUUCCUGCUUCUCCUCUGCUUUUGGGUCUUGCUGUGACUCUUAUCUCUACCUGGAAUGUCCUUGCUUUCCUUCUCUGCCCACUAAGCUAACGUUCUGCCUCCUUGCUAAGACCUAACUCAGUUAACACCUCCUCCUGAAAUCCUUCCCCACUUUCCCCAAUUCUGCAUGCUCUGCACUUACUUGACUUGUUUGGGAGUAACUUUGGAGUAGAACUUUUCUCAUUCAACAAAUAAAUGCUCAUUAUGAGCCAGGUACUGGGGCUACUUUCUGCCCUAUAUUUGUUAUUGGUAAUAUUUAGUUUUUCUGUUUGAGCAGCAAAGAACAUAGACUCACUCGGUAUUUUACUUUAGGAACAUAGGAUUGUGUAAUGGGAGUUUCUUUCCACCUUGUCAUUUAACAAUUUGUCUUCUGUGAAUAGAAAAUAUUAAUGGAUUUAUGACCAUUGUUUCUAAGCAAAGCACACCAGAGGUCCAGUUACCCUUUUCUAGCAAGAUGCUCUUAACUGCACUGAAGACUCGUAAAGCUCCCUCACCAUCCUCAACCCCCACUUAAAGUUCUUUUGUUCACGGAAUCUGCUGGCCCAUCCCUAAUUUUAGGGAGACGCUUUCCCCUUUGAUGUUUUGCCUGGGCCCAGCCCCUCCCUCACUCCCACCCCCCACCCUUCACCCCCCUGUAGCGCCAGUGGUCUUAGUCGUGAGGAGACCAAGUACAACUCUGCCCUCUGUCCUGGGACUAGUGAUGGAAAUCCUGAACUCCUUGUCUGACUUGCUGGAGUGAGGGGCCUUUCUAUAGAAGUUGAAUUGUAGGUUGUAUCCCCCUCCUGCGUUUUUCCACCAGCAAUAUGAAUGAGCGACACCAGAUUGGGCCCCAAGAAUGUUUUUACAAUUGGAAUUUUCCUCCUUUGGCAGAAGUUUGAAAGCAAAGAGAACAAAAUCUAGGUAGAGUUGGGUUCGGAGUAGCCACCCAGGAUUAUUACGGUUGGGCACCACACUCCUCGUCCAGAGGGCUCCAUUCACAUCAGAUGUCUUUAUUAUUCUGCAAAAUUUAGUGCGUUUAUUAAUAUUGCUUAUCGCAAAGAUGGGUGACUUGUAUGUUUAUUACAAUUUGCCGGCAGAUGGCAGUCAAGUGUCUUGUUUGAAGAGGGUUAAUGUAUUUUGUUCAGCUUCCACGCACAAAGGAAAAAUGAGUCAGUAAUCAAAACCAACAACAGAUCUAAUGUCAUCUAAAAAUAUUUCUGCUUCUAAACAAGAAACUGCUUUUCUAAUUGAUAGGCUGAUAGGUGAGUAUUUAAAGACAAAUCCCAUUGAUAUUAGUGCACCAGCUAAUUUAACGUUUCACCUUGUAUCACAUCAUCUGCUGUUUUAUUUGCUGUACUCAAAAGGCAUUGCUGAGUUCCCAACGUAAAUCUACGAGGACUUUCACAACUAUAUGAAUCACCAUCAAGAUACACAUGCUCAAAUAAUCUACAAAAUAAAUGAUAUACACGUAAGAUAGAGAUUACUAUUUAACGAUCUGGUAAUUACAUAAUAGCAAUUGCUUAUUGUUAUGGAUAUCCUGUUAGUAAGAAUAUUCACUUGAUAGUAUUUAGCAGCUUGAUAGCCGUGUAUUUUGUAUGUUAUAUACAUGUAAGUUCUAAAAUAAAACUCAUUAUUGAUUUUUUGCUCAGAUACUAUGAAAGAGUUUUAAAAAUUAAUUUCAGAAUCAGAAAACAGAAGAAAAUCACAAAGAAUAGUUUAGAUCAUUGAAUACAUUUUGGGAAAAGAUGGACUGGGGGGAGGGGGGACAAAGACUGAUGGAUUAGGAUGUGAAUUUACUAUCGGUAUUUAUGCCAAGCUUAACUGGUUAGUUUUGAAGAAAAAUGGAAGAGAAAAAGAAAACAUUAAACUGGAUAUUGCCUAUCCAGGUACAUGGCUAUGUAAUUUGAGUAUUUUAAAACUUUGAAUAUUAACAAUAAUGUAGUUACAAUUUGUCUAUCUUACAUACGGAAUUUAAUUUUUCAUUAAAUUUAUUUACAUUAAAUUUCAUCAAGUUUUCAUUAGAUUUUGUCAAAUUUAACAAAUUAGCACUGGUAGGAAGUUUUCGGAAAUUAUGUACUUAUAAAUUCUAACUAAUGAUCAAAAACUCCAUAUUAUUCUACCUCAGUGAUUUCCGUGUUUUAUUUGUAUUACAAUUCUUCAGAGAUGGAAAAAAAUAUCAACUGAGUAAUGAAAGUGUGCACAAGGAUUGGUAGUUCCCUACAGUCAGCUGUGAUCUGGAAGCAUAUGACCCUCCUUCCAACUCAUCAUGAGGUCAACAGUAGCUUCACACUGCAUCACAACGCCUACGUCAUUCACCUCACUUCAUCUCAUCACUAGGCAUUUAUCACCUCAUAUUAUCACAAAAGGAAGGAUACCCAGGAAGACUGACGACCAAGAUCUCAUGGGAAGACAGAAAUUGUGAGUCUCCAUGGCAGAACGCUGGAAUGCAAAACUAGUCCAGGGCCUAAGGCAGCUCCACCUACCAAGUUCUUGAUUGCCUUUUCAGCAGACCACACUUCCGCUAGGCAAGUAAGCCAUCCUUUCCCUCUCUCCUUCCUCUUUCUCUUCUGCUUUUGCUAUUUUUUCCUGUAUGGGUCAAUUCGGAGAGAGAAUCUGACUGGACUAAUAUGGCCACUGUUGGUCCUGCGGCACAGCUUAACUAGAACCCCAGAUUUGUGCUUAGAGAGCCCCCUUGUGGCCGCUCUCCUAUGUAGGAGGCUUAUGGGCGGACUGGGUAGUGAACCUUUUGGAAAUAGUCCUUUUGUUUAAAAAAACACCCUUGAUCAAAAUUUCCUCUAUAAACACCAUUUGUUUUCCUGAACAUAAAAGCAAUACCUGUUUGUUUUAGAAAAUUAAGGAAAAUAUGGAGAGGAAAAAAAUUAAAAUGAUCACUUAAUUUUGGUGUAUUUUCUUCGAGCUAAAUAUGCAUGUAUAUAUGCAUACCUACAUGCAUAUAUGAAACAUGUACAAGAUUUAGAAUGAUACACAUUAUAUUCCUUUAAAUUUAUGGUGUAAGAUUUUUCCUAAGUCACACACACAAGAAGAUCUUCAAAAACACCCUUGCUAAUGGCUUCCUCAUCUUCCAACAAGAGAUGAGCCGUCAUCGGCUGCUUCACCAUUGUAGGACAGUUGUUCAUUUUAGCCAGACUUUCUCUGUAUGAAAAUGUAGGCAAGGCGGCUGUGGGGGACGGUUCAGUGUGCUGUGAUUCGGGGCUCUCACCCCCAGGCCUGACUGAGGUGACAGAGCUGGCUUCUGUGUCCAGGCCAGCCCUGGCAGCCCGGACUCCCAUCUGCAGGAACAGAAGCUCAAAGAGGGAGAAGACCUGGCCUGGGGAUUUUUUCGCACACGUUUACGGGAGGGAGUUGGUGGUAAAGGGUUACAGGAUUAGAGAGCUAAGCUGAAGGGCCGCACCUGGAGGCAGUCCUGCGCACGGAAUUUACAACAGGAGCCUGGGAGUCGUAUAAAUGAGUAAUGCUUCAUGAUGCUCUUUUCCAAGCGAGCUGCAAAAAUUGGCAGGGGCCCUUCAGUGUGCUGUCGAUGUGUCUGGAAUUCAAAUAAUUUGAUUCUGAGAUACAAUGACAAUGGGAAGCAAGGCAUUACCUUGAGAGAAUGAUGGCCGAGACAGCCGCUGCGACCAAUAUUCAUGGAAGAUGCUGUACUAACAACUGUUCUCCAUUUGCCGUCCUCCCUGAAAUCUCUAUCAUGCCUCGUUGCUGUUGCUAUUGCCCUGACUCAAGGGCAUUAAAUUAAAAAGUAAUGUAGCUGGUAA